UGGGGAAUUUUGCACAAUGGGGGAAACCCUGAUGCAGCGUCGCCGCGUGAUUUAGAAGGCCUUCGGGUUGUAAAAAUCUUUUCUAUGGGAAGAAAAUGACAGUACCAUAGGAAUAAGGACCGGCUAAUUACGUGCCAGCAGCCGCGGUAAUACGUAAGGUCCGAGCGUUGUCCGGAAUCAUUGGGCGUAAAGGGUACGUAGGCGGGUAAGCAAGUUAGAAGUGAAAUCCUGUAGCUCAACUACAGUAAGCUUUUAAAACUGCUCAUCUUGAGAUAUGGAAGGGAAAGUGGAAUUCCUAGUGUAGCGGUGAAAUGCGCAGAUAUUAGGAGGAAUACCGGUGGCGAAGGCGACUUUCUGGCCAUAAUCUGACGCUGAGGUACGAAAGCGUGGGUAGCAAACAGG
rnacentral:rRNA from 1 species